rnacentral:rRNA from 1 species
UACGUAGGUGGCAAGCGUUGUCCGGAAUUAUUGGGCGUAAAGCGCGCGCAGGCGGUUCUUUAAGUCUGAUGUGAAAGCCCACGGCUCAACCGUGGAGGGUCAUUGGAAACUGGAGAACUUGAGUACAGAAGAGGAAAGCGGAAUUCCACGUGUAGCGGUGAAAUGCGUAGAGAUGUGGAGGAACACCAGUGGCGAAGGCGGCUUUCUGGUCUGUAGCUGACGCUGAGGCGCGAAAGCGUGGGGAGCAAACAGG